ensembl:snRNA U6 U6 spliceosomal RNA
GUGUUCUGUGUGCACAUAUAUGAUUAUUAGAAUGAUGUAGAAAAGAUUAGCAUGACCCCUGUGCAGGAUCACAUACAAAUUCAUGAACUGUUCAAUAUUUUU